rnacentral:rRNA from 1 species
UACAGGGGGGGCAAGCGUUGUUCGGAAUUACUGGGCGUAAAGGGCUCGUAGGCGGCCAACUAAGUCGGAUGUGAAAUCCCCAGGCCUAACCUGGGAACUGCAUCCGAUACUGGAUGGCUUGAAUCCGGGAGAGGGAUGCAGAAUUCCAGGUGUAGCGGUGAAAUGCGUAGAUAUGCGGAGGAACACCAAUGGCGAAGGCAAUCUCCUGGACCUGCACUGACGCUCAUGCACGAAAGCGUGGGGAGCAAACAGG